AGCGGGUGGCUUGUUGAUAACAUGGCGGCAGCAGCUGCCCGGGCAUCCCGAGGAGGCGGCAGCGCCCACACCCGGAAGAAGGGGGUGUUUUCGGACUAGUGCAGCGGCUCCUGCGGACCCGGAAGUCCCGGCCAGCUGCUGAAUGAGGGGAGCCGGGCCCUCCCCGCGACACUCCCCCCGCGCCCUCCGCCCCGACCCGGGCCCCGCCAUGUCCUUCUUCCGGCGGAAAGUGAAAGGUAAAGAGCAAGAGAAGAACUUAGAUGUCAAAUCCAUUAAAGCUUCAAUAGCCGUACAUUCCCCACAAAAAAGCACUAAAAAUCAUGCCUUGCUGGAAGCUGCAGGACCAAGUCAUGUUGCAAUCAAUGCCAUUUCUGCCAACAUGGACUCUUUUUCAAGUAGCAGGACAGCAACGCUUAAGAAACAGCCAAGCCACAUGGAGGCUGCUCAUUUUGGAGACUUGGGCAGAUCCUGUCUGGACUAUCAAACUCAAGAGACCAAAUCCAGUCUUUCAAAGACCCUUGAACAAGUCUUACGUGACAGUGUUGUCCUUCCAUAUUUCCUUCAGUUUAUGGAACUUCGGAGAAUGGAGCACCUGGUGAAAUUUUGGUUAGAGGCUGAAAGUUUUCACUCUACAACUUGGUCCCGAAUAAGAGCACACAGUCUAAACACAGUGAAACAGAGUUCACUGGCUGAGCCUGUCUCUCCAUCUAAAAAACAGGAAACGACAGCGUCUUUUGUAACUGAGUCUCUUGACAGGAGGUUGGGAGAUUCUAGCUCAGCCCCACUACUUUUGACUCAAUCAGAAGGAACUGACCUGAGUAGUAGAACUCAGAACACUCAGAAUCACUUGCUGCUUUCCCAGGAAUGCCACAGUACCCAUUCUCUCCAUCAUGAAGUGGCCAGAACAGGAACUCAUCAGAUUUCCACUGACUCCCAAGAAUCCUCUUCCAGACUUGCAGUAGCCAGUAGAAACAGUUGCUCUUCUCCACUGAGAGAACUGUCAGAAAAACUAAUGAAAAGUAUAGAACAAGAUGCAGUGAAUACUUUUACCAAAUAUAUCUCUCCAGAUGCUGCUAAACCAAUACCAAUUACAGAAGCCAUGAGAAACGACAUCAUAGCAAAGAUUUGUGGAGAAGAUGGACAGGUGGAUCCCAACUGUUUCGUUCUGGCACAGGCUGUAGUCUUUAGUGCAAUGGAGCAAGAGUAAGUUCAUACUCUGACAUUAGCAUUCCUGGGGAUUCUGGCUCCUGGUUGGAAAAUGGACUUUACUCAACUGAAAGCAGUGCACUUGGACAAAGUCACUGGGGUGAUGGAGACUGUGGUAUAUAACUGAGGGUUUUCUAGUUUAGUAAUGCAUGUUUUCAGAUGAACAUCGGCUUUGUUCAUGCUUUCAGUUUAUACUCUGUAACUAAAUAACAUAGUAAACUGUCUCCAGACUUUUUAAGAUUAUUGUUGUGUGCCUUUAAAAAUUUAUAUGUUCAUUCUUUUACUCCCAUCUGCCUUGAAGGAAGUUACAGCUUAAUAAAAGAGAGAGGCCGUAUUUUUUGGUUACUGUAACACAAGGUAGUAGAUAUAACUAUCAGAAGAAAGCCACAAACUGACUGAGAGAUUGGCUUACAUGGCUUUCAGCUGAAAGGAAUCGGGAGCAGCACUUUGGGAAUGAGGUAGCCUUGACCUAAGCCUCUAAGAUUUUAUGGGAAUAAAGGCAGGCUGUGGUGGUACAUGCCUUUAAUCCCAGCACUGGUCUACACAAGUUCCAGGAGAGCCAGGGAUACAGGAAGAAACCAGGUCUUGAAAAACCAGAUUUUAAAAAAACAUAUUAAAAAAAAACAUUGACUAGGAAUAGUUUUGGAAAGAGUAUUUUUUUUCCAGUUAUGCUCUUUCCUUGAUCUUUCCCUCAAAUAUUUUCUUUUUGUUCAUGUGCAGGCACUUUAGUGAGUUUCUGCGAAGUCACCAUUUCUGUAAAUACCAGAUUGAAGUGCUGACCAGUGGGACUGUUUACCUGGCUGAUAUUCUCUUCUGUGAGUCAGCCCUCUUUUAUUUUUCUGAGGUAAAUUCUGCAUUUUCUUUUAUAUUGUGCUAGAGCAUUCCGGCUCCAUGCUUGGACCCUGUCUAAAUAAAGUGACAUAAAAGAGAUAACUCAUUUGCAAAGUGGUUGUUUUAGGUUGUACUUAAUGUGAGAGUACUUCAAUGGCAUAUUUACCAGAUUAAAGAGGAAACUCAGUGUAAAAUAACCCUAAUUUUUGAAAAGUACUUUAGCUAUACUAUAAGAAAAUACCAUAUGAAAGAUAGUUUGAGCUGUUUUAAAGCCGUAGACUUGGAGGUGGGUGUAGCUCAGUUGGCAGAGUAUUUGCUUAGUGUGCACAAAGCUCUGGGUUCAGUCCUGGGCACCACAUGAAACUCGGCAUGGUGGUGCAAACCUGUAAUUCCAGCACUCUUAGGGUUGAGGCAGGAGGAUCAGAAAUUUAAGUUAUCCAUUGUUUGCUACAUAAUGAGUUUGAGGACAACCUGGGCUAUUUCAAAAAUAGAUAAGCAGGAGCUGGGGAGAUAGCUCAGUAUUGAAGUGUUUGCUGCAUAAGCAUGAGGACCUGAGUUCAGAUCCAUAGAACCCAUGGGGAAAAGUUGGAAUGGCCGCAUACAUCAGUUUGCUCAGGAUUAGGAAUUGGAGACAGGAGCCUUGGCAAGUUAUUUAGUCAGUUCACUGCUGAGCUUUGCGCUUGGUGAGAAACCAUGUGUCAAAAAAUAAGAUAGGGGUUGGGGAUUUAGCUCAGUGGUAGAGCGCUUGCCUAGGAAGCUCAAGGCCCUGGGUUCGGUCCCCAGCUCCG
rnacentral:lncRNA from 1 species